UAGGGAAUCUUCCGCAAUGGGCGAAAGCCUGACGCAGCAACGCCGCGUGAGUGAUGAAGGUCUUCGGAUCGUAAAACUCUGUUAUUAGGGAAGAACAAAUGUGUAAGUAACUAUGCACGUCUUGACGGUACCUAAUCAGAAAGCCACGGCUAACUACGUGCCAGCAGCCGCGGUAAUACGUAGUUGGCAAGCGUUAUCCGGAAUUAUUGGGCGUAAAGCGCGCGUAGGCGGUUUUUUAAGUCUGUAGUGAAAGCCCACGGCUCAACCGUGGAGGGUCAUUGGAAACUGGAAAACUUGAGUGCAGAAGAGGAAAGUGGAAUUCCAUGUGUAGCGGUGAAAUGCGCAGAGAUAUGGAGGAACACCAGUGGCGAAGGCGACUUUCUGAUCUGUAACUGACGCUGAUGUGCGAAAGCGUGGGGAUCAAACAGG
rnacentral:rRNA from 1 species